rnacentral:rRNA from 1 species
UACGGAGGGUGCAAGCGUUAUCCGGAUUCACUGGGUUUAAAGGGUGCGUAGGUGGGCUGGUAAGUCCGUGGUGAAAUCUCCGAGCUUAACUCGGAAACUGCCGUGGAUACUAUUAGUCUUGAAUCUCGUGGAGGUAAGCGGAAUAUGUCAUGUAGCGGUGAAAUGCUUAGAUAUGACAUAGAACACCAAUUGCGAAGGCAGCUGGCUACACAAAUAUUGACACUGAGGCACGAAAGCGUGGGGAUCAAACAGG